AGCAGUUGGCUUUUAACCAAUUGGUCGUAGGUUCGAAUCCCACACGACCCACCA
rnacentral:tRNA from 1 species